rnacentral:lncRNA from 1 species
AGCGUUGCAGCUUGCAUGUGGCAGGGAUGUAGGGUGAAGCUGUGCAGGGCAAAAGACAGGUCAGUUCCCGCUGGAAGUGCCCCACUGGGGGGCCUCGGUGUGUCUCUUUCCCCAGCACUGGCAUGGCACAUUUUGACCUGAGCAAUGGUGAGCUGCCCGGAAUACGAACAGGAGGAAGAGAACCUUCCCCAGGCAGCAUGUGAGGCUGGGGUGGCACUCGACACAGGACAGCAGGCAAGGACAUGCCGCCCUCCAGGCUGAGGGUCUUGGGAGCCUCCCCUCCCAGCCCCUGCUGUGGCCUCCCCCUGGGCCCUGGCAUGGGAGGAGUUAAGCUGCCGCGGGCACCUUGGCACAUUGCGCUGCCCAGAGUGUCCGGCUCCCCACCCCCACUGCUUUUCUUCCUUUUUGCCUUUUUCCUUCUUAAUUAAUCAUACGCUGCUGCCCAAUUUAAAUAUGGAAAUGCCCAGGCCGAGGCGAUGCAAUUAUUCAUGAGGGCCGGGCGGCUGUCCGGGGCUCUCGGGCUGUGGGGAGUACCGUGGCAUCGCCUCCGUUCUGAUGUGUGUGAAAUUAUGUGCACAAAAGGCGCCUCCUUAUCUGGGAGUGUGAACUAAAUAAAUAAAUAAGGGCUUUUGUUUGUUUGCCGGCUCCUGCACAUGGCUGCUGGGACUCAAGCGCUCGUGUUGUCUGCGCCUCUGUGGGACUCUGGGGACGGGAGGCAGGGGAGGCCCCCGCAGGCCGGCCAGGGGCUGGGGGCUGGGGGCCGGGGGCCGGCCGCCGGGCACCUGGGGCCCUCUCCCUCCCCAGGCACCACCCUCACCCCGCAGCUCCCCCCCAUACACACCCUCGCUGGAAAGUUCGCCCUGCCCGGGCUGGGCUCCCAGGCAGCCUGGCACCGUGCCAGGCUCGCCGCCGAGCUCGGGCAGCAGGGUGGGGCAAACGCGGAGCACGGAGGACGGGGCCGGGCGACCUGGGCACCAGCAGGACCCGAGGCCAGGAGCCAGGGGCCCAGAAGAUUGAGCUUCUAGAGCCUCAGAGAUGGAAUUCGCCGUUUUGCCGCGAUUUGGCGUUAACUUAUUGACCCAUGGGGAGGAGGGUCACUUCCCGUGAAAAGAAGGCAGAGAUGUUUUGCUGUGCCCAGUGUGAGGAAGCGAAGGAAAAGAAAGAUCUUUUGAAAAUGUGUACAUCUACUUGCAGCUUGAAAAUUCCAAGUGCCAGACAUUUUUCUUGGAGGAAAUAAAUGUCUUCAAUUUAUUCAUCUUACCUGUUGAUUAUGUUCUGUAAUGAUUUAUUUUAUAAUUUAAUCCUUGUCUAGAACCGAGGCCAUCUUUGGAAAGUAAAAGACCUAGGUCUCUUUGGUCCAGGAGACAUUGUGGCCCUCUCUUAAAAUCAUUGACUGCCGAGAUCUGGGCCCAGGCGGCUCUCGGACUGAACCGGUCUGUGCUAGGCAGCCUGGCCCACUCGGCCUUCAAAACACAAGGGAUGGGAGACAUAUGCUCGGCUCACAUCGUUUUGUUUUGAUUUAUUUUAAACUGCUUAAGAUGAUUUUAGCACAAGGAGUGGUGUAUCUUACUUGCAUUCUGAGAGCCACUGGAUUUGCAAGCUAGAGUACAAUUUUUUUUUUAAUCCAAAUUUAGAAAUUGCCUUUUAGAGUAGACAACAGCAUGCUACUUUGCCUUUUAACUCACUUUUAAAGAACGAUUCUUAAGAUCAAGUACAUUGAAUUUGGAGAUUGGUCCCCCUCCGUUAUUAGGGGCUGGAAAUGGCCCACUUUUCAAAAAUAAGGUCAGAAAAGGGGUGUUUCUGACCUAAGA